CCAAGAGACUCAACUGAACUGUAUAAAUGUAAUGUAACUUCCUGAACGAGGUGCCUACUUUAUGGUCACCUGGCUUGCAAGACCAUUUCAAUAAAGACUGCUUCAGAAUUUGACUCGGACUGAAAUUAUUGAACAGUGAGCUUUGUUUCUCACAAUAGUAUUGAAAUGC